UCAUAUAACAAGAUCUCUAUUUCCAUCUGCGUCCUAUACAAUCUCUUCCUACACAUUGCCUACUUCUAGCAUCUCUCAUCUUUAUUCUGGCAGAGUAUAAAAAGUGGACUGGAAGCUUGAUUGCUCAAGUCAAUGUGGAGUCAAUAUUCCAAAGCUCCACUCCCCAACCACUCAACAUUAAUCUAACAAAAACUUGGGUAAUCCAUUGAUCCACCUGAGUUAGCAAUUUGAACCUUAGCCCCA
rnacentral:lncRNA from 1 species